GACGAACGCUGGCGGCGUGCUUUCCUUUGAAAGUCGAACGAUGAAGUUCCUUCGGGAAUGGAUUAGUGGCGAACGGGUGAGGAACACGUGAGGAAUCUGCCCUUCAUUUUGGGAUAACACCGGGAAACCGGUGCUAAUACCGAAUACUCCGUCUUGGCGGCAUCGCUAAGCCGGGAAAGAAUUUCGAUGAUGGAUGAUCUCGCGGCCUAUCAGCUAGUUGGUGAGGUAACGGCUCACCAAGGCAACGACGGGUAGCCGGCCUGAGAGGGCGACCGGCCACACUGGGACUGAGACACGGCCCAAACUCCUACGGGAGGCAGCAGUAGGGAAUAUUGGUUAUUGGGCGCAAGCCUGACCCAGCGACGCCGCGUGAGGGAUGAAGGUCUUCGGAUUGUAAACCUCUUUCAGUAGGGAAGAAGCGAAAGUGACGGUACCUAAAGAAGAAGCACCGGCUAACUAUGUG
rnacentral:rRNA from 1 species